rnacentral:tRNA from 1 species
GUUAGAGUGGCAGACCCCGGACAUUGCAAAAGGCCUAAGCCCUUUCUACAGAGGUUCAAGUCCUCUCUCUAACU